rnacentral:rRNA from 1 species
AGAGUUUGAUCCUGGCUCAGAAUGAACGCUGGCGGCGUGCCUAACACAUGCAAGUCGUACGCGGUAUCCAGCAACUGCAUAACGUGAGUGGCGAACGGGUGAGUAACACGUGGGUGACCUACCUUCGAGUGGGGGAUAACGUCCCGAAAGGGACGCUAAUACCGCAUAACAUCCUGUCUUUGAAAGGCGGUGAUCAAAGCCGGGGACCGUAAGGCCCGGCGCUUGAUGAGGGGCUCGCGUCUGAUUAGCUAGUUGGUGAGGUAAUGGCCCACCAAGGCGACGAUCAGUAUCCGGCCUGAGAGGGCGGACGGACACACUGGGACUGAGACACGGCCCAGACUCCUACGGGAGGCAGCAGUGGGGAAUUGUUCACAAUGGGCGCAAGCCUGAUGACGCAACGCCGCGUGGAGGAUGAAGGUCUUCGGAUUGUAAACUCCUGUUGCCCGGGACGAAAAGCUCUGACCUAACACGUCGGAUGUCUGACGGUACCGGGUGAGGAAGCCCCGGCUAACUCUGUGCCAGCAGCCGCCGUAAUACAGAGGGGGCAAGCGUUGUUCGGAAUUACUGGGCGUAAAGGGCGCGUAGGCGG